rnacentral:rRNA from 1 species
UACGUAGGGUGCAAGCGUUGUCCGGAAUUAUUGGGCGUAAAGAGCUCGUAGGCGGUUUGUCGCGUCUGCUGUGAAAACGCGAGGCUCAACCUCGCGCCUGCAGUGGGUACGGGCAGACUAGAGGUGCGGUAGGGGAGAUUGGAAUUCCUGGUGUAGCGGUGGAAUGCGCAGAUAUCAGGAGGAACACCGAUGGCGAAGGCAGAUCUCUGGGCCGUAACUGACGCUGAGGAGCGAAAGCGUGGGGGAGCGA